rnacentral:rRNA from 1 species
UACGAAGGGGGCUAGCGUUGCUCGGAAUCACUGGGCGUAAAGCGCGCGUAGGCGGCUUUCUAAGUCAGGGGUGAAAUCCUGGAGCUCAACUCCAGAACUGCCUUUGAUACUGGAGAGCUAGAGUCCGGAAGAGGUGAGUGGAACUGCGAGUGUAGAGGUGAAAUUCGUAGAUAUUCGCAAGAACACCAGUGGCGAAGGCGGCUCACUGGGUCAUUACUGACGCUGAGGCACGAAAGCGUGGGGAGCAAACAGG